rnacentral:sRNA from 1 species
GCUGGGUGUGGUGGUGCACACCUGUAAUCCCAGUGGCUCAGUAGGCUGAGGCAGGAGGAUCACAGGUUUGAAGCCAGUCUCAGCAAUUUAACGAGACUGUGAGCAACCUAGUGAGACCCUGUCUCAA